rnacentral:rRNA from 1 species
UACGUAGGGUGCAAGCGUUGCCCGGAUUUAUUGGGCGUAAAGGGCGCGUAGGCGGUCACGCACGUCCGUUGUGAAAUCGCUCGGCUCAACUGGGCGGGGUCAGCGGAUACGGUGUGGCUGGAGCAAGCUAGGGGGCAAUGGAAUUCCCGGUGUAGUGGUGGAAUGCGUAGAUAUCGGGGAGGAACACCAGUGGCGAAGGCGGUUGCCUGGAGCUUUUGCUGACGCUGA